rnacentral:rRNA from 1 species
AUUGAACGCUGGCGGCAUGCCUUACACAUGCAAGUCGAACGGUAACAGGUCUUCGGAUGCUGACGAGUGGCGAACGGGUGAGUAAUACAUCGGAACGUGCCUAGUAGUGGGGGAUAACUACUCGAAAGAGUGGCUAAUACCGCAUGAGAUCUACGGAUGAAAGCAGGGGAUCGCAAGACCUUGUGCUACUAGAGCGGCCGAUGGCAGAUUAGGUAGUUGGUGGGAUAAAAGCUUACCAAGCCGACGAUCUGUAGCUGGUCGGAGAGGACGAUCAGCCACGCUGAGACUGAGACACGGCCCAGACUCCUACGGGAGGCAGCAGUGGGGAAUUUUGGACAAGGGGCGAAAGCCUGAUCCAGCAAUGCCGAGUGCAGGAUGAAGGCCUUCGGGUUGUAAACUGCUUUUGUACGGAACGAAAAGCCCCGGGUUAAUACCCUGGGGUCAUGACGGUACCGUAAGAAUAAGCACCGGCUAACUACGUGCCAGCCGCCGCCGUAA